rfam:Fusarium oxysporum Fo5176 contig03094, whole genome shotgun sequence.
ACCACGGCGUUUCUAAACGCCACAGUUCAAGUCAACUAGAAGAUGU